UACGUAGGGUGCAAGCGUUGUCCGGAAUUAUUGGGCGUAAAGAGCUCGUAGGCGGUUUGUCGCGUCUGCUGUGAAAACUCGGGGCUUAACCCCGGGCCUGCAGUGGGUACGGGCAGACUAGAGUGCGGUAGGGGAGAACGGAAUUCCUGGUGUAGCGGUGAAAUGCGCAGAUAUCAGGAGGAACACCGGUGGCGAAGGCGGUUCUCUGGGAAUGACCUGACGCUGAGGAGCGAAAGUGUGGGGAGCGAACAGG
rnacentral:rRNA from 1 species